GUCCGCGUGGUCUAGCGGUUAUGACGUCUGCUUUACACGCAGAAUAUCGUCGGUUCAAAUCCGACCGUGGACA